rnacentral:pre_miRNA from 1 species
AUCACCUGGGCUUCUUGUUAAAAUGCAGAUGCUGAUUUAUUACCUCUAAGGUGGGGCCUAAGAGUCUGUGUUUUUAACAAGUUCCCAGGUGAUGCCCA